rnacentral:rRNA from 1 species
AGAGUUUGAUCCUGGCUCAGGAUGAACGCUGGCGGCAUGCCUAAUACAUGCAAGUCGAACGAGAGGAAGGAAAGCUUGCUUUCCUGAAUCUAGUGGCGAACGGGUGAGUAACACGUAGGUAACCUGCCCAUGUGCCCGGGAUAACUUCUGGAAACGGAUGCUAAAACCGGAUAGGUAGCAGACAAGCAUUUGACUGCUAUUAAAGUGGCCUUGGCCAUGAACAUGGAUGGACCUGCGGUGCAUUAGCUGGUUGGUGAGGUAACGGCCCACCAAGGCGACGAUGCAUAGCCGGCCUGAGAGGGCGGACGGCCACAUUGGGACUGAGACACGGCCCAAACUCCUACGGGAGGCAGCAGUAGGGAAUUUUCGUCAAUGGGGGGAACCCUGAACGAGCAAUGCCGCGUGAGUGAGGAAGGUCUUCGGAUCGUAAAGCUCUGUUGUAAGAGAAAAACGGCACUCAUAGGGAAUGAUGAGUGAGUGAUGGUAUCUUACCAGAAAGUCACGGCUAACUACGUGCCAGCAGCCGCGGUAAUACGUAGGUGGCGAGCGUUAUCCGGAAUGAUUGGGCGUAAAGGGUGCGUAGGUGGCAGAUCAAGUCUGGAGUAAAAGGUAUGGGCUCAACCCGUACUGGCUCUGGAAACUGAUCAGCUAGAGAACAGAAGAGGACGGCGGAACUCCAUGUGUAGCGGUAAAAUGCGUAGAUAUAUGGAAGAACACCGGUGGCGAAGGCGGCCGUCUGGUCUGGAUUCUGACACUGAAGCACGAAAGCGUGGGGAGCAAAUAGGAUUAGAUACCCUAGUAGUCACGCCGUAAACGAUGUAGAACUAGGUGUUGGGGGAAUAACUCAGUGCCGCAGUUAACGCAGUAAGUUCUCCG